CCUCUCCCACGUGAGGGGGGCCAACCAAGCAUCCCCAGCCCCGGGGCCACCCAGCCUGCUCCGGAGGGAGGGGGCAGGGAAAAAGGGCAUCUCGGGGCCAAAACCUCAUGCCGGAUCCUCCGGCUUUCCCCCCAUUUCCAGGAUAUCGUUUCGCAUCAGGGACACUCGUCUCCACACCUCCUACCUCAAAGUCCUACGCACCUACCCUUCACGUCUCUCCAAAGCAACUGAAUUAAAGCGCCUACUGGCCUUGGCGGCGCAGGUCCCAAGAUUUUGACUGAUUGGUUGUACGACUAGAGUUGCUGGAGUUCAAGUAUUUUCAUUUUAACUAUUCAACUGAAAGCAGUGCGUUACAACAGAACACGGGUUCCAAAGAAUUUACUGAGAAGAAGCAAAGUAAUACUUGGGAGAACUCUAUGGGGGUCACAAUGCUGAGGAUGCAAUAAAAAAUUAAACGGAGUUCAGCUAGUCUCUAGAGCAAGGCCUCUUUGCUUUUGAUACAAGAGGUGACCCUAGUAGAUGACUCCUUGUUUGGGAUGACUAUAAUACACAGGCAUCUCAUGAAAAUCAUCCAACAUAUAGAAGAAUAUAUAGAAUAAAGCAAAAAUCAUCAGAAACUCCACCGUCUUGGAUGACCAUAGUUGAUAUUCUGAAUGGCUUCUGUUCCGAUUGAACCUUGACUGAUGUAGCACCUAUCACCAAAUUGCUGUUCAGGAAAUAUGUCCUAAAGAAACUCCCAACAGCAGCAAUACAUCAGAGUGGCACCUCUUUACACUGGUUCUUGAGAAGAUGUCAGAGUGAGAUUUGCAAUAGACUCCCAGCAGCCCCCAGGAGCACCAAGUGAGAUGCCUGCCAGGCCCACUGUGUCCACUGCCCUCUGGUAGCACCUGAGGAUCAUGGAAAUUAAAUCCUGGUAGAUAAAGGGGAAGACGUAAGGAAGACAAGACAAGGGACUGAGGAAAUGUUGGGGAAGAUGAGAACACCUCAGAAACCACAAUUGAAGAAUUCCUAGGACCCCCAGGAAAGGGGCACAUCCAGAAAGGAGAUAAGAUCAGAAGCCUUUAUUUCCACUAUUCAGCCACUCACUGCCUGAGACUUAACUUCAUUUCAAGUAAGGGGAUAAUAUUUGGCCCCUAAGUAUCUUACAAGGGUUUUGUUUUCCCUAAGAGAAAAAAAAUUAGGUAAGAUCAUAAGUAAGAAAGGAUUUUUUGAAUUAAAAAUAUAUGCAAAUGCAAGUUAUAACAAUUUUUGUUCUGGAUAUUUUUGCAGUAGAUAGAAAAGUUCUUUGUGCUGUGGCCACCUGCCUAAUGCUGUUGACUGGCUGGUAAUAGAUGCCUGGGAGUCAUUUUGAGGUUACUUAGAGCCUCUUUCCACCACCAGAUGGAAGGAAAUUGGGCAACUUCUUGAGUAAUUGGCUCUUCUGACUCACGUUUCUUGCAUUGUGACCUGGGUGCUACCCAGGAUGAGCAAGGAAUUUCCUCUCUGGAGUUGUUUAAGGAAUAGCCCAAACGUUCAGCUUCAUCUUUUUUUAAUGCCGCCUCUAACACUACCUGAGCAGCCACAGAAAAGUAUUUGCUGCUGCAGUAUUUUGGAUCAGCUGAAAUAUAUUUUGAGUAUGUACUCUGGGAAAGGCACAGAAUACCAUUUCUUUACUGAGAUUCUCUUCAAGGAUUUCCAUCCCUCCUUAAAGACCUAGUUGGGAUGGAGCAAUGUAUUUAGAACAUGAUGUGAGUACCAACAAGGAGUCGGGAGACACCUUUUAGCUGUACUUCUUUAUCUUUCUCUCCUUGCUUCCUCUGUCUCUGGUUUCCCCUUUUGCAUCUCUUGUUUUUCCUUUCUUUUCUUGUAUUACUUUCUCUUGAUCAAUAGAGCUGCCAUAGCCUUCCCAGACAUAAAUAAUCAGCUUCCUUGGAAGUACUCAGAAUGUGAACAGCUGUAGCCACUUAGACCUGGUCUUAGAUUCUCACCCCUUGUUGUGUAUUGUAAUUAUCUAGGGAACUUAAAAGGUACUGAGGCAUGGGCCCCAAUGGAAUCAUUAUCCCUGGGGGGUGGGGUGGGCCCUAGACCUGGUAUUUUCAAAAACUUUCAAAAAUUAUUCUAACACAUACGCAGAUUAAACUGGUUGCAGACAUUCAGGAAGCAAAAAUAUGACAAAAUUACCCUAAAAGUAAAAUAAAAUAAGAUUUUUGGCU
ensembl:lncRNA SAMD12-AS1 SAMD12 antisense RNA 1